GGAUUAAUGUGAGUGAUGCUACAAAGUGGCUCUGGUUGCCGGUACCUGGCUCCAACCCUCAUUUCCACCUCACCAUGACCUGCUCCUGAGAUUUGCCCAUAUGCCUGUGAGCUUGUUUUUCCUGGCUACUGAGCACYGGAUGAGGAAACUAUCCUACAGAGCACCAGGCAACUGUAGAAGAGUGAAGAGGAGAUUUUCUCUGUAGGAAGACUUCUGCUAAAAAUGGAAAUUCUCCCUGUGAACCAGUAUGCCCUGUAUCUGUGACCRAAUUUCUCCAGGAGUGCCAAGGACUUUAGCAUGGUAAUUGGAACUGAGGACCCUCAAAUCAGCCCUCCAAGACUUUAUGCUCACGGUAAAGGACAACCACUAGCACAGCAAGAUGUAAUCCACCUUGUCAGCAAGCUGCUGGGGCAAACACAAUAUAUGAGUUGCACUGGAAACAGAAGAUAGAGGGAGUGUAGGAGCUCGCCAUCUCCAAGCGAUCUACAUUGGGAAAAAACAUGGAGUCCGCUCCGGCAGCCCCCGAUCCAGCAGCUAGUGAGCCGGGCAGCAGCGUCCCCGAGGCGGCUGCCAGC